CUGGGAAUCCCGCACAGCUGGAAGGACCAGAACUUUUUGUGCAGCUCUGGCUCGCAGAUGUGGACGUUCUCCGCUGCCAAGCGGGGUUUGCAGACUCACAGGUGAGAAAGGUAUGUGUCUAGGGAAGAAGACAUCCAGCUCUGUCUCCAAGAAGAAGGAACCCUCAUGAUUGGUGAACUUGAUAGCUGGGAAGCUACAUAGAACUUGAAAGGGUGGUCUGUCGGAGCUGUCUUAUGAACCAUAAAAGAGGAAAAGGCCACAGUUUCUUAUUAAAACACAUCGAAAGGAAACUGGGUAGUUAUUGUCAUUACUGAGGAUGUUUGUGUGAACACGCAAGAACCACCUGUCCACCGGUACAGUGACAAUCUUGGUGGUGGCAUGGAAGAAAGAAAUGUGUGUCUGAGAGUGAGGAGCAGUGAAUUGGUGGGUAGGCUUAUGAACCACAAUUGCUCGGCUCACAGACUGCUGCUGAAGCAGGCAAGGGUGGCCAGCUAUGUUGGAUGCUGUCAUUACUGUGGGAAAAGAUGGUGACUUAAAUUCAAGACAUUCAAGACCCUCUCCAAUGAAGGUUUCAACUUGUAAAAAUGGAAAUUCAGUAGAAAAGAGAGAGUCUGCAUUGAAUAUGCUACUACUAAAAAACAAUCAUAUAGUGAAGUAUUUCCAAAGUUCACUUGAGUUGGCAUAUGUACUGUACUACUGC
rnacentral:lncRNA from 1 species